rnacentral:lncRNA from 1 species
UGUUGUGGGUUCUGCCUGUGGUGACACGAGGAUGGGAAGUGGUGGCAGCUGGAGCUUCCCUCUGUGCAGGGUAGAGAGGAAAACCUGGAUCCAUCCAAGGCACCGCUUGUAACUACAUUUGUUCAAGAAAUGUCAUCUUAACCCCCAAAACUGUUGACACUUUAUGCAUGUGCUAAUUAAAUUUUAAAAAGGAAAAGAGGAAAAAAAAAAAAAAAAGGAAAAAAAGGGGGGGGGGGGGGGGGGGGGGGGGGGGGGGGGGGGGGGGGGGGGGGGGGGGGGGGGGGGGGGGGGGGGGGGGGUUUUUUUUUUUUUUUGUUGGCUUGUUCUUUGCUGUGAGUUAAUCAGGGCUGUGAUGCUCCCUCCUCUGUUAGAGGCCAGGGCAUGGAAGGAGCAGCAGAAAGCUGUGAUCUCUCUAAAACCCUUCAUUUGGAGAAUCAUCCCUCCAAGAUCAGUUAAUUCCCAUGGGUAUUUAACCCCUCACUGCCUGGGUAAUCUGGAUGCUUUAUUAUGGGGCAGCUCUGAGCAGCAGGAGCUGCUCCUUCCCAACCCCUCCCUGGCUCCAGCAGUUCUUGUCCUCAUCCAGCUCCUCCUGCUCCCACGGGAAACACAGACCCUGAUCUGGACUCUGAAAUAAAAAACACAGACACACAGAGCGUGGCACAUACCUGGGACAGCAGCCCAGGUCUUCCAAGGUUUUAAUUUUAACCCCCCCCCCUUCCCCCUAAUUUUUGGGGGGCAAAGUUUUAAUUUUAACCCCCCCCCCCUUCCCCCUAUUUUUGGAGAUCCUCUUGACAAAUCACUUUAACAGUUUUAUUUACAGUAAUAAAAAUAAAUUACUCUUACAGAUGAAUGUAUAAUAUUAUACACAAUAGAGAUACAGUGCAAUAACAGCAUUGAUUUGUUUUCACUCGGUCAUAAAGUGCAUCGAAGGGGCUUGAUUUAACCAUAAUUGAAUGAUAACUGUACAUUUUCCUUUGAGAUCAAACUUUCCCGGUCGAGUUAAAAGGCUCAUGACAGCCCUGGCAGCAAAGGAAGGCGCUGCCCUGGUUGCUGUGGGCUCAUUCCUGGGGGGCAGGGAACGGGGAGGGCUGAUCCCCACCCUGCCUGUGCUGCUGGCAGCCACUCCAGAGCCUGGCCAGGCUGGCCUGGAGGGUGAGCACAGAGCAGCCUCUGCCUCUGGGGGGGGGAUUCCUGCCAGGCUUUGCCACCAGAAACUCCCCCCUGCCUCAGGGCUGGAGGAUUCCCUCUCCAGGGAGGAUGCUCUUUGUCCCCGGUGUGCUCCGAGGGACAUCAGACACGCCGGGUGCAGAGGAAAGGCGAGGCCAGCGCAGCCAGCACUGCUCCCCACCCUCAGCCAGACACCUCCCAGCUGCAAUCCCAGCUUCUCCUGGGAUGAGCCAGCAGUUCGCCAGCUCCCAGGGCCUGCAGUAAGGCCACAAAGCUUGUGCUUGUGGUUUCAGCAGGACGCAAGGUGCUGUCAGUGCCCUCGCUGGGCAGGGAUAACCUUGGAGCAGGCACAGCUGCAGCUGGCACCGAGCAGAGCUUGGGGAGGGAACUGCUACCCUUGGAGCUGGAGGCAAAACUCACAUCCCUCAAAGCCAGGGGCUGAAGGGUCUGAUUUGGGUUUCGUCUGCUGCAAACCCCCUGCUCUCUCUGUGUUGCAGUUUCGGGAAGGGGCAGAGCUCUGUUCCCAGGGCUGGGGGGAUUCUGCAGUGGGCAGCUGCACUGACAACAGAAAAAGUACAAAGAGGAGCUGCCUCACCUCACCACGAGGGAAGGCUGAGCAUGAACAAGAGGAAUUACGAGGAAAUACCGUGUGCACCCAACAAUUACUCCUGCAAUUAGAAGUGAGCUGUUAAUUCAUCGUUAAUGACGUGAGGCUGGAUGCUGGUCAGGACACACCAAUACAAGUGAGUACCAAUGGCUGUGUAAAAGGUCUCCCCACCCCAAAUUUGAUGCUUCUACAAGAAAGAGAUACUUCAUCACCUGAUGAGAACAGUAAUGGUUUCUUGGGGGUUCAUUCCAGGUUCAAUUAAAACUCUUUGAUGUGAACACACUGGUGCUGCCACAGCAGGACUGAGAUCCUUGGGAUCUUUCCUGCUGGCUGAAGAGAGACAUUUUCACUGCUCAAAGUCCCAAAUGGCCAAAGUGCAAAAAAGAAGACAAACCCCAAAAUAAAAUUAAGCAGAUUCGUUGGUAGAGCCUGUACAUUCUAAUAGGGGGUUUUUGUGAUUUUUUUUUUUUUUUUUAAUUUCGGGGGGGGGGGGGGGAUUUUUUUUUUUUUUUUUAAUUUCUCAUGCUGGGACAGGGAGAAGGGCUUGUUGUAAAUGCACAAGCUCCCCCCAACCCUGGCACAUCUCCACAAACCUCAGGGCACCUGUGGUUACAUCCCACCCCAGGCUGGCCCUGGCCUUGUCACAGUGUAUUUGAGGAAUGUUCUUUUUUUCCCCUUCUUUCUCCUCCUCACCCUUUCCUCACCCCCUCAACUCAACCAGCCAAGCACCAACACCGAAAGCUUUUCACACCUACAUUCUGCUGGCCACCAGCUCGUGGUGGAAAAGCCAAAGGCACCCAGAAACCUGUAAAAAAAUCGGCAAGCAAGCAGUGGGUUCAUUUCCCUGGCUGUGUUGAUCCCUGCCACGGGCUCAGGGCUGCUUGGAUACCACCUGUAAUUACUCAGGACCGGUUUUCUGCCCAUUUCUGCUGCUGCAGAUCCAGACCAGCUCCUGGAGAGUCCAGAAGUGACAAGGAUCAGCCCAGCCUGUCUCUGGCCUCUCGCCCUUUACCCAAAGCUGUUUGCAAAGCUCAGAAUUUGAAGGUGCAGUGGCGAGACCCUGGCCAGGGUGAGGCCUUUACCCAAAGCUGUUUGCAAAGCUCAGGAUUUGAAGGUGCAGUGGCGAGACCCUGGCCAGGGUGAGGACAGGGAGUUCUUCCCACCAAACACCCCCAGCCCUCUCCAGGCAGGUCCAGCUCCCACCUGGAGUGGCCCUGGGGACCCAGUGGGAAUCAAAGGACACCUGGAAACCUCCAACAGGCCAAAGACCCCGUGCUUUGCAGGACUGCCACUGUCCCCUUGGCUCAGCUGGAGAAGCACAGUCAUUAAACCAGAGGCUUUUAGGGGCCUCAGUUUAGCAGAGAUACAGAAUUCCAGCUGGAGGACACCUCCCAGUGCAUCCAGCACAGAGCACUGGGAUGUACUGGUGGUGCCCAGCACGUGGACAGGGGCUGCUGGGCUCUUUUUUUUGGAGAGGAUCCACCAGCUGGGAACCCCAUUUUGCCUCCCUCACCGUGGGUGCCUCAUCCACAGGUGGUGCCAUCACAUUCCUGGGAGCUGCUCCCUGGUUUUGGCAACAGAACCUCACCCCAAUUCCUGCAUUCCAUCCUAAAUGUGUCCCAAAAACAGCCUCAAACACCAGGACAUCCCCACCCUGGGAGGGAGACUGAAGGUUUUAAAUUAACUUUCCUGGUGUUCCACAUAAGGGGGCCCCAAAAUCCAUCAUCCCCCAGUGAUGUCCAACAUCCAAAUUUUCUAUUAAAGGGUUUUCUCUGUGGAAAAUAAAACCAACAAAGCAAAGCACUGAAGCAAAGGUGCAGGAAAAUGGUCAGAGGUUUCCACAAGGCAUGGCAGGGGAACCUAAAACUCUUUAUCUUCUUCUUCACUUCUCAUUUUCCCCCUUUUCUCUGAUAAAACAGGUGAGGAAAAACAGCAAAAAUCCACCUGGAAGUGGCACUAUUUUUAUUAAGGGGAAUGGCUGCAAAAAUACCAGUUUAUCAAAAUGAUUUUUUUUUUUUUUUUUUGGUGGUUUCUUGAGACUUUUCCUGAAACCUAACAAGUGUUUUUAACAACUUCCAUGGGCAGCUUUAACAGCACAAAGAGAGAGGUGCUAGACCAUCACUUGAAAAGAUAUGAGAUGGUUAUUUUGCAGUAACUUGAGCACAAAACAGGCUUGCACCACGUCCUGAUGCUGGCUGUGAGCUGGGUCGCCGCACCCAAGGAGCAGAACUCAGGCUUUGCCUUUGCCAAAGGGGCUGGAAAGGUUUGGGUGACACCCAGUGUCCCCCUGGGACACCCCCACCUGCUCUUAACCCCACUCUGCGUCCUCAGCUUUAGCUCCUCACAUCCCAAAUUUUUUCUCCUCUUGCUGUGGAGGCCCACAGGGAGAAAUUUUUCAUUGAUCCUUAUUUGAGUUUGGCAAAAUUUAUCACUUUUUACCUAAGCUGCUAAACUCUGCAAAGAGCAUUGUAAAAACCAAGCUCUUCAGCAGCAGGGAAUUUACUGGAAAGCCAAGAAAAUGCAACUUUUUUUUUCAUGUCAAGGUUCCUCUCGAGCUGAUUAGUUAAACUACCUUUCAUCUAAAGAUACAAAAUGAGCUGCCCAGAGAAACAAAUCCUGACUUCUAGCUAGGGUGGUUGUAUAAAAACCUUUCAAAUGUUCACAAUGUUUCAAAAAGGGUUUAAACUGUUGAGUUUUUCCGCUGAGGAACUGCAGGGACCUGGCUGCGCUUGAGAAACCAGAGGAAAUAGAAUGAGUAAAGUGUUUGUAUAAACAUUAGUCUUUCUUCUAUAUAUAUUUACUUUAAAACCUGCAUUGAUUCCACAUUGUGCCAACUGCCCAAUCUCCAAGGUAUUCAUCAGAGAAAGGAAAUUUUAAAAAACCACCCCAAAUCCCACAGAACAUUAAAAUCAGACUGGCCACCUCUCACAGGUAGACAAUUAGUCCAAGCCCCAGGCACACUUGGGAGAUUCGGAGCUUUCUCAUGUGCACUUAGCUCCGAGGAGCAAGAGAUUCACUGCAGAGAUCCAGGGGCAAAACCCUCCUGGGUCUGUCUGCAUCCAUAAAGUGACUUUGUACCCCCUGCAGCCACACAGAGCAAGAACAUUUCCUCUCUUAUCACAGACUCACAGAAUUUCACAGGGAGGGACCUUAAAUCCCCUCCAGUGCCAUGGCAGGGACACCUUGCACUGUCCCAGGCUGCUCCAGCCCGGCCUUGGACACUUCCAGGGAUCCACAGCUGCCCUGGGCACCCUGUGCCAGGGCCUCCCCAUCCUCCCAGGGAAGAAUUUCAUCCCAAUAUCCCACCUAACCCUGCCCUCCUUCAUCCUAACGCCAUGCCCCCUUUGCCCAAAUUCUCCACCACCAGGGGGGAAGCCAUUCCUUAUCCUGUCACUGCUCACCUUCACCAAAGUCCUUCUCCAACAUCACAGCAGCUUCUCCAGAAUAUUUGGGUGCCAGACUCAGCUGCUGGAGGGUCUCUCCAGCACCCCCCUGUGCCCCGGGUGUCCCACCCCUCCCUGCCACCUCUCUGGGGGUCACUUGGGUUCCUCUUUGCUUCAUCAGUGAAUGCACAAUUCCACCUCCUGGCCACAGGCAAGCAGAGGGUAAAGGACACUUCGUCGUGGGCUCACAAAGAGCACAGAGCACGGCACAGAGCACGGCACAGAGCACGGCACAGAGCACGGCAGUGCCAGAAGGAAGCAAGGGACAGCGGCAGCACCAGCAGUGACACAGGUGGUGACAGAGGCUUCCCCCUCGGGGGCUCCAGCCAGCCCGGACCCCUCUCUGGAGGAAAAUCCCACCCCAUGUAAACAACGAGGGGGGAGAGCAGCGCCCCAGCGCCCGGCUGGACAAGGAGAGCCCUUCCCUGGCCUCCCAGACUUUGGGGUGCAGGUCACCCUUACCACUGCCAGCCCUGCCCCAGUCGCAUUUUGGGGAGGGGGUGGGGAUUCCCUGGGUACCCCCAUCGGGGGGGGGGGGGGGGGGGGGGGGGGGGGGGGGGGGGGGGGGGGGGGGGGGGGGGGGGGGGGGGGGGGGGGGGGGGGGGGGG